rnacentral:rRNA from 1 species
UACGAGGGGUGCUAGCGUUGCUCGGAAUUAUUGGGCGUAAAGGGUAGGUAGGUGGUCUCAUUUGUCUCAUGUGAAAGCCUUGAGCUUAACUCAAGAAGUGCGUGAGAAACGGUGAGACUAGAGUACUGGAGAGGGUCGUGGAAUUGCUGGUGUAGCGGUGAAAUGCGUAGAGAUCAGCAGGAACACCCGUGGCGAAGGCGGCCACCUGGGCCUAACCUGACGCUGAGGCGCGAAGGCUAGGGGAGCGAACGGG